rfam:Oryza sativa (indica cultivar-group) chromosome 8, whole genome shotgun sequence.
GACAAACAAACCCUGGUUUCUGUGCUCAACGUUUGACCGUCCAUCUUAUUUGAAAAAAAUUAUAAAAAAAGUAAAAAGACAACUUAUGCAUAAAAUAUUAACAUAUUUUAUCAUCUAACAACAAUAAAAAUACGAAUUAUAAAAAAAUUUCAUAUAAGACGGACAGUCAAAAUUGGACACGGAAAUCCAGGGUUUGCAUUUUUU